AUUGAACGCUGGCGGCAGGCCUAACACAUGCAAGUCGAACGAGUGGCGGACGGGUGAGUAAUGUCUGGGAAACUGCCUGAUGGAGGGGGAUAACUACUGGAAACGGUAGCUAAUACCGCAUACCAUCGGAUGUGCCCAGAUGGGAUUAGCUAGUAGGUGGGGUAAAGGCUCACCUAGGCGACGAUCCCUAGCUGGUCUGAGAGGAUGACCGGCCACACGGGAACUGAGAACCGGUCCGGACUCCUACGGGAGGAAGAAGGGGGGAAUAUUGCACAAUGGGCGAAAGCCGGAUGCAGCCAGGCCGCGGGGAUGAAGAAGGCCUUCGGGUUGUAAAGUACUUUCAGCGGGGAGGCGGUACCCGCAGAAGAAGCCACGGCUAACUCCGUGCCAGCAGCCGCGGUAAUAC
rnacentral:rRNA from 1 species